rnacentral:rRNA from 1 species
GGUUAGUGGCGGACGGGUGAGUAACGCGUGAGAAUCUGCCCUCAGGAGGGGGAUAACAGUUGGAAACGACUGCUAAUACCCCAUAUGCCGAGAGGUGAAACGAAUUUUGCCUGGGGAUGAGCUCGCGUCUGAUUAGCUUGUUGGUGGGGUAAAAGCCUACCAAGGCUUCGACCAGUAGCUGGUCUGAGAGGACGAUCAGCCACACUGGGACUGAGAUACGGCCCAGACUCCUACGGGAGGCAGCAGUGGGGAAUUUUCCGCAAUGGGCGCAAGCCUGACGGAGCAACGCCUCGUGAGGGAUGAAGGCCUUUGGGGUGGAAACCUCUUUUCUCAAGGAAGAAGAUCUGACGGUACUUGAGGAAUAAGCCACGGCUAAUUCCGUGCCAGCAGCCGCGGUAAUACGGGAGUGGCAAGCGUUAUCCGGAAUUAUUGGGCGUAAAGCGUCCGCAGGCGGCCGUUUAAGUCUGUUGUUAAAUCGUGGAGCUCAACUCCAUCACGGCAAUGGAAACUGUUCGGCUUUGAGUAUGGUAGGGGCAGAGGGAAUUUCCGGUGUAGCGGUGAAAUGCGUAGAUAUCGGGAAG